UUCAUUCGAGCUGAUAGCACGCGCUUAUAGUUAACAAAAACCGGCAAGUUUUGCAGUGAUAGUGAAUUUUCAAGAUGCAUACGAAUCCAUUCACUCGUACCCACAGCCAAAUCCGUCAAGUUAUCGAUAAUAUCGUUUUUGGAAAAGAAAAAAUGAGCAGAAAUAAUUCCGAAACGUCUGUUUGGUCGAAUUCUUCCAAAGGAUCGACUAGUUCGAAAAGUUUUCUACAUUCAACGGGACAUUCAUGGAAUUUAAAAUCGUUUAGAAGAAAAAACCAAAGAAAUUUCAAAUAAAUCUAUCGAAUUAGUGAGGAAAAUUAAAAAUGGGAAUAAGUGAUAACUAUCCAUUAUUUUUUCUAAAAAAGUUUGGAAAGGUUUUAUUAGACAAAAUGGAAUAUUGAUCAAGAAUCUGGUUUAGUCCAAAUCUUUCGUCGCUUUUUUGUAUAAGGAAAAAGCAUAGUGACCUAAAGAUGGAGAAGGACAGUGUAUUUUUGAUUCAAGAUACCUUUAAAAAGCAACAUAAUUUGUUGUAUAUUCAUUAGUUAAUAAUAAAAUUAUUAUUUUAA